UACAGAGGGGGCAAGCGUUGUUCGGAAUUACUGGGCGUAAAGGGCGCGUAGGCGGCCUUCUAAGUCGAACGUGAAAUCCCCGGGCUCAACCCGGGAACUGCGUCCGAUACUGGAAGGCUUGAAUCCGGGAGAGGGAUGCGGAAUUCCAGGUGUAGCGGUGAAAUGGCGUAGAUAUCUGGAGGAACACCGGUGGCGAAGGCGGCAUCCUGGACCGGCAUUGACGCUGAGGCGCGAAAGCCAGGGGAGCAAAGCGGGG
rnacentral:rRNA from 1 species